AGAAUCAACGCUGGCGGCGUGCCUAACACAUGCAAGUCGCACGAGAAAGGGGAGCAAUCCCUGAGUAAAGUGGCGCACGGGUGAGUAACACGUGAAUGAUCUACCUCCGAGUGGGGAAUAACUGAGAGAAAUCUUAGCUAAUACCGCAUAAUACCCACGGGUCAAAGCAGCAAUGCGCUUGAAGAGGAGUUCGCGGCAGAUUAGUUAGUUGGCGGGGUAAUGGCCCACCAAGACGAUGAUCUGUA
rnacentral:rRNA from 1 species